rnacentral:rRNA from 1 species
GACGAACGCUGGCGGCGUGCUUAACACAUGCAAGUCGAACGGUGAAAGCGGAGCUUGCUCCGCUGGAUCAGUGGCGAACGGGUGAGUAACACGUGGGCAACCUGCCCCUCACUUCGGGAUAACUCCGGGAAACCGGGGCUAAUACCGGAUAUGACCUCCUUGGGCAUCCUUGGAGGUGGAAAGUUUUUCGGUGAGGGAUGGGCCCGCGGCCUGUCAGCUUGUUGGUGAGGUAGUGGCUCACCAAGGCGACGACGGGUAGCCGGCCUGAGAGGGCGACCGGCCACAUUGGGACUGAGACACGGCCCAAACUCCUACGGGAGGCAGCAGUGGGGAAUAUUGGACAAUGGGCGCAAGCCUGAUCCAGCCAUGCCGCGUGAGUGAUGAAGGCCUUAGGGUUGUAAAGCUCUUUCGUCCGGGACGAUAAUGACGGUACCGGAAGAAGAAGCCCCGGCUAACUUCGUGCCAGCAGCCGCCGUAA